AUUGAACGCUGGCGGAAUGCUUUACACAUGCAAGUCGAGCGGCAGCGCGGGGCAACCUGGCGGCGAGCGGCGAACGGGUGAGUAAUGCAUCGGAACAUGUCCAAGUCGUGGGGGAUAGCCCGGCGAAAGCCGGAUUAAUACCGCAUAAGCCCGGGAGGGGAAAGCAGGGGACCGCAAGGCCUUGCGCGAUUGGGUUGGCCGAUGUCCGAUUAGCUAGUUGGUGAGGUAAAGGCUUACCAAGGCGAUGAUCGGUAGCUGGUCUGAGAGGAUGAUCAGCCACACUGGGACUGAGACACGGCCCAGACUCCUACGGGAGGCAGCAGUGGGGAAUUUUGGACAAUGGGGGCAACCCUGAUCCAGCCAUUCCGCGUGAGUGAAGAAGGCCUUCGGGUUGUAAAGCUCUUUUGUCCGGAGCGAAACGGUACGGGUGAAUAUCCCGUGCUACCGACGGUACCGGAAGAAUAAGCACCGGCUAACUACGUGCCAGCAGCCGCGGUAACAC
rnacentral:rRNA from 1 species